GAGAGGUUGGCGCGGGCAAACGCUUCGCCAACCCGGUCAGGCCCGGAAGGGAGCAGCCGCAACGAUUCCCGUUUGGGUCGCUGUCCAGCCUCUCACC
rnacentral:SRP_RNA from 1 species